CAAGAAAGUAAAUUUCUAGUAACUUCGAGUAAUUAAACCUCCCAUUGUCUUCAUUCACACGUUACAUCGUUAAAUGUAUAAAUGUGUUAUCAAAAUUGGUUAUUAUGUGAACUUGAUAUUUAAUUAUUACAUUUUAUGUCGUUAAUGCUUCUCAUGACAUAUUCAUCACAUCAAUGCAUCCAUAAGCAUAUAUUAGGUUUCAAGAAAAAUAAAAAUUUCCAAAUGUCAAUGAGUCANAGGAAUUUUUUAAAGAUAUGUAUCCCAAAUGUUUUGUUACGAGGUGUAUGUAUAUGCCAUGAAAAGUGAAAGUGGAGAAAAUGGGAUGUGGAGGACCAACACACCCGACCAAUGUUCAAUAAUAAUGUUAAUGUUAAUAUUAACUACGUUAGUACCGGUAGGACUCGACUAGGUUUCAAUAAUAAUUGUCCACUGCAUUCUAAUUGGCUAGACGAUGCACCAAGUAAGCUCACAACGUCGAUAUUAAGUGUUUAAAGAAACGAAUGAACGGGGAUACAUAAUAAUUGGGCUUAUACAAAAAGGGGCUGACCAAGGUAUUUUUUUCAAUUCCUAGAAGGCUUCACACUCCUCUAUAUAUUGGAACUUUUUUCUUCCUUUGAGGAUUUUAAAUAAAAU
rnacentral:lncRNA from 1 species